rnacentral:rRNA from 1 species
UUGAACGCUGGCGGCAUGCUUUACACAUGCAAGUCGAACGGUAACAGGGAGCUUGCUCCGCUGACGAGUGGCGAACGGGUGAGUAAUGUAUCGGAACGUACCCAGUCGUGGGGGAUAACUAUCCGAAAGGAUAGCUAAUACCGCAUACGUCCUGAGGGAGAAAGCGGGGGAUCGCAAGACCUCGCGCGAUUGGAGCGGCCGAUAUCGGAUUAGCUAGUUGGUGGGGUAAAGGCUCACCAAGGCGACGAUCCGUAGCGGGUCUGAGAGGACGACCCGCCACACUGGAACUGAGACACGGUCCAGACUCCUACGGGAGGCAGCAGUGGGGAAUUUUGGACAAUGGGGGAAACCCUGAUCCAGCCAUUCCGCGUGAGUGAAGAAGGCCUUCGGGUUGUAAAGCUCUUUCAGCAGGAGCGAAACGGUCGGCUUUAAUACAGUCGGCUAAUGACGGUACCUGCAGAAGAAGCACCGGCUAACUACGU